rnacentral:lncRNA from 1 species
ACUAGUCAGGACUGUUUCCUCUCUCAGCCACCGGACUGGGCUGGAGCAGGCAUAUCUGUGAUGCAGGGUAGACCCACUCAGAAUGUGAGUGGCACCAUUCUAUUGGCUGGGUUCCAAGACUGAACAAAGCAGGGAAAAGGAGAAAGCCAGCAACCAAGGAUUGAAUUUUGGACAUUAUGCAUGCUGGUCAAAUGCUCUACCAUUGAACUACAUCCCUCUGAAGUUCUUAAGUCAUUUCUAUGGUAUUUAGGUCACAGAAAUGCAGAGGUGACUAAUACCCCAUCUCAGAAAAUUAUAAGAGUGUGUAGAGGUGUACAGCAGCAAUUCCUCCAAAUAACAAAUACCAAGGAGAGCAGAAGAAAAGACAUUUAUAACCAGUUGGUAAACGUCAAGGACUACUUCAAGGAACUCCAAGGCAGUGUUUCUCCUGAGGUUCCUAAAGAAGAAGGAAAUCAACCAUUCAUAUUAAGGUCUUGAAAAACUCCCAAAAUGUAGGAGAUAAGGGCCUGUUCUUUCUACCUGUUUUAAGAAGGUUUUGACUAAUUAGUGUUAAAAACCGUUAAAGAGCUCCCAAUGGACUCUAAACAGGCUUAUCAGUAGGUAGGUGUUGAUGUGGCAGGGGUGGCAGUGGAAUUCUAAAAUGGGAUAACUUGUUAGCUCAAUUUUUCUCUCUAAAAACGUUAACUUUGUCAGUGAUUGCUAGUUAGUAUUAGAGAUGGAGAAAGUGGCUAGAAAGCACAGUUCUGUAGCCAGUGUCUCUUGCUCCUGUGAAAGGAUACUUUUAAAAAGGAUAGCUGAGGGGGCUAGAGAGAUGGCUCAGUGGUUAAGAACAUGGAGUGAAAUUCCAUCAAGCACAUGGUGGUUCACAACUAUCUAUAAGGGCAUCUGAUACCCUCUUCUGGCACGUGGGUGUAUAAGCAGCAAAACACUUAUACAAGAAAGAGGGGAGAGAGUUUUUAAAGGACAACUGAAGAGACUAUCCAAUUUUUUUUUGAAAGGCAGAUGACCUAAGACUAAAUACCCUCUCUACUGAUGUUGAUGAAAGUUAUCUUGUUGUUUUCAGUCUUGUCAGAAAUAUCACAGGAGGUGGGCUUAAAUUUUCUUUCUAUGUUAGAGAUACACAGUUUCUUUUAAAAUAUUUGGAAAUAAAAAUGGCAAGAUCAUAAGUUGUCACUC